AGCAGCCGCGGUAAUUCCAGCUCCAAUAGCGUAUAUUAAAGUUGUUGCAGUUAAAAAGCUCGUAGUUGAAUUUCGGGGUUCUACCGUUGGUCAGGCUAUUGUCUGUACUGGCGUGUAGAAUUUCUACCUUCUGGGGAACUAUCAUGUUAUUAAUUUAGCGUGGUAGGAAACCAGGACCUUUACCUUGAAAAAAUUAGAGUGUUCAAAGCAGGCUUAUGUCUGAAUACAUUAGCAUGGAAUAAUAAAAUAGGACGGUGGUCCUGUUUUGUUGGUUUCUGAAUCACCGUAAUGAUUAAUAGGGAUAGUUGGGGGCAUUAGUAUUCAAUUGUCAGAGGUGAAAUUCUUGGAUUUAUUGAAGACUAACUACUGCGAAAGCAUUUGCCAAGGAUGUUUUCAUUAAUCAAGAACGAAAGUUAGGGGAUCGAAGACGAUCAGAUACCGUCGUAGUCUUAACCAUAAACUAUGCCGACUAGGGAUCGGACGAUGUUAAACUUUCUUGUACUCGUUCGGCGCCUACGGG
rnacentral:rRNA from 1 species